rnacentral:rRNA from 1 species
CAUACCUAUUCGAAGGGAUAGGGUCGGUUUGGCCGGAUUUCACACAGGUGUUGCAUGGCUGACGUCAGCUCGUGUCGUGAGAUGUUGGGUUAAGUCCCGCAACGAGCGCAACCCUCAUCCUUAGUUACCAUCAGGUUACGCUGGGGACUUUAAGGAAACUGCCAGUGAUAAACUGGGGGAAGGUGGGGAUGAUGUCAAGUCAUCAUGGCCCUUAUGGAGUGGGCUACACACGUGCUACAAUGGUGAUUACAAUGGGCUGCAAGGUCGCAAGGCUGAGCUAAUCCUAAAAAAUCAUCUCAGUUCGGAUCGUUCUCUGCAACUCGAGAGCAUGAAGUUGGAAUCGCUAGUAAUCGUGGAUCGGCAUGCCACGGUGAAUACGUUCUCGGGUCUUGUACACACUGCCCGUCACGCCAUGGGAAUUGGUUUCACUCGAAGCU